rnacentral:lncRNA from 1 species
ACACUUUUCCCCCGUGUUCUAUUGAUUCUUCAAAAAAUCGAAAGCUCAUGGCCUAUUUUUCGCCUUCUAUAUAUAUGAGCGCAUACGUUAAAAACAGUAUGAUUGUCCAGUUCGCAAGGUUAAAUACAGAUAUCACCUGGUUAUGAGCUUCGACUCCUGAUGUCAGUGCGCGUUGCUCAGUAUAUUUUCAUGAGCUCGAGCGAUAUUUCUCGAUGGUGGAAGUUUUUGGUUGUAUCUUUGUCGUUGUGUUGUGCUAUCGUAGCGUGGCGGGGUCUUUCAGCAUCGAGUUUGUGGAUUUGCAGCUGUUGGAAAAGGAUUAUGACGGCGCAGUUUUCUUCUAUGAAUGUGACUUUCCCUCGCCAGAUUCAUCGCCGGAAAAUAGGUCACCAAGCCCCUCAACGUCCCAGAACCAAGGUCUUUCAGCGCUGCUCCUUCGACCAAACUCCCGGAGGAAAGGUGGCGUGGGUGUGGCGUGCAGGCGGGUGACGAGCCCGGAGAGGCGGCAAGCGAUCCUCGCGAUGGCCACCUUUUACUUGGUGCACAACCCCAAAUUGGACUUGGGCGAGCGGCUCUUCGACGCGGACACCCGGCUCCCCCUUCAGCUCCCGACCCUGGUCAACGUCGGCGUUGAGCUGGACAAGGUCACUGCCCAGGCGAAGGUCCCCAAGUGGAAGACGGCCAACCUCGAAGACACUCGUGAACUCCUUGCUAAGCUCAAAUCCGUCCAACUACUGCCGUACAUGUGCCCGGACUACUUGGUCAAUUUCUUCAGCGUCGCUGACAUCAAGACCUUCACCCUCAACUCGCAGGACGUGGUCAUGGAGCUGGCCGGCUACGUGGCUGUGCUCGACAGAAUAGUAGCCCUUUACUACGACGACUACUAUCGCACCUUCUUCAUGUAUGUCUUCAAGUACGAGGUGGACAUGCGGCUGAAACGUCGGACCCGCGUGAAACUGGUGAGCGCGCUGAAUAUAGUGCUGCCGAAGAUGAUGGAUCCGUGCUUCAUCAUGGCGCACCAGACGACGGCCAAGUCUCUGGUGGACGCCAACAAGUCCUGCUCCUCUUAUUGCAAGGUUCUCGUCGUCGCCGCCGAUAUCUACAAAGAGGAGAGCAAAACCUGCAAGACGCGUUGGACCGAGGGCAAGUGCGAGAAAAAGCGAUGCAUCUGCCUCAAGCCGACCCGGGGAUUGAGCGUCCUGACGCCACGCGCCCCGAUGCACCGAUGCAACAACCAAGUGGUGCAGGCCAACAUUCAGGGAUCUUCCGCAGCGUCGGGACCAAGUGGUGGUGGACCCAGGGCCUCAUGCGGUGGAUCUUCGAGUUGCCAGACUUCAUCAGCAAAGAUCUCUGCUCCCGGAUGCCGGACGGGACAAGGCUCCUUCGUCCAGCUAAGUCCACCUCGAAAGAGGAGCAUCCAAACAGUUCCAAAAAAGAGACGACUGGAACCUAAUAAAAAAUAAUGACCGUCAACUUUGCCGUGAUAGCGAAAAGCGCAGUAGCAGGGUGUCUAAUAAAACAGGCUGCCCAAAAAUCAGUCCUUUUACAAUACUUUUUCAGUAUAUUCCCAAGAAAUGCAGUACUCCCUCAACAGAAAAUUCAGUACUUUUUCAGUACCUUCAUUUAACGAAAUUUCAAAAAUUCGUAUUUCUCGCUCAAAUUGCGACAAAAAUGACACAAAUUCCGGACCUUUUUGCGGAAUUUCCGCACUUUUUCAGUACUUCCGGACCGCCCUUAAGAAAUCAGCACUAUUUCCGGACUUUUCGGAAAUUCCGCACUUGUAGACACCCUGUAAGAGCAAAAAUGAAGUUUUGAGGAGACGGGCUCAGAAGCGUCUGACCGGAAAAUUUUCUUGAAAUAAGCCUGCGUUCUCUGUCAAAUUGCCACUAAUCAUCAAUUUUGGCUAUUUGCAAGGCAUUGAUUCUCGAAGGCCGUUUUGACCUGUUCAGAUUUUGGUUUCUUCGCAAGCGGGAAGUUUGACUUUACUCAUUCCAAUUUGUAAUAUAAAUGCUAAUUCCUUAAGUCAAGGGUUGAUAAUGAACCUCUUUAAUUAUUUUGACAUAUUUUGCAUGAAAUUUUCAUUGUAACAUGUUGUGAGGAAACAUCUCUUGUAAGGACUAAAUUCUUACUUUGCCUGGUGGUCCUUUCUGUUUGAAUAUAUUUCCUGUAAAAGCAACUCAAAAUUGGACUGCAUUUUGCAAUUUGGAACUAUAAAUUCUGGCUCUUCUGGAAAAACACUUAUGUGCAUAGGGAAACUAAUGGCACAUACGUUGUUUUUAAACCGAGCUAGAAUUUAUAGUUCCAAAUUGCAAAAUGUAGUCCAAUUACUCCUAAGACGUUCAAAGUUUGAAAAUUCUUCUGGGCUCCACUCUCAGUAUGGCAAGAAUUCCUUCCUGCUUUGUUCAUCUCCCUGUGCAGCAGGAAUCGACUUGUAAUUCCAAGCAACUCGAUUUAUUUUCAGGGCAUCUUCUAAAAUUUCUUGAAGUCCCCCUCUCUACCUUGUCAUUUAGUCCAGUCAUUCUAGCUUUUUACCUCGGACAAAUUAGCACAAACUUUUCCUUUGGUAUAUAGGGUCUCUAGGUACCCAUUAAGACAGAAAAAAAAGUUUACAAAAAAUUCCACCGGGAAAGUGGUCAAAUCGCAGUUUUUCAAAAUGGC